GCCAUCAUGGUGCAAUGCUGGCACGUCUGACUCCACAUCAGAAAGCUACGUGUUCAAAUCACGUCGGGGUCA
rnacentral:tRNA from 1 species